ACGGCGAGCCACGAGCAGCAGAAAGGGCCGGCGCCGGCGGGGGGCGAAGCGCCCCCUGCCCUUCCUUGCAGAGCCGGGGGUAGGUGAGGGAGAGCCCUGGCCGCCAACCGCUCCCACCGGUUCCCUGGCUGCACCGCCCCGUCUCUCCCCCUGCCCUUCCUUGCAGAGUCGGGGGCAAGUGAGGGAGCAAAGGUUCAAUGAUCAUUCAGAAUCUGAAGUGGAGGAAUCUGCAUACCACCAGCUUCUGGACCAGCUUAGGACCUUAGGACACCUAUAGUUGAAUCCCCACCAUCACUGGAUGACUCACCUCGUGUGGAAGCACCAGCAUCUACAGCCCAGACAUCUGUAGUGGAAUUGCCAGUGUCUGCAGACCAGCUGGCUGUCAAGAAGCCACCACGUUCUGAGCACCAUUUCCUGCUCAUUGUAUAGUCUGCAUCCAGGGAAAGCUCACCCGAGAUCAGAUUACCUGUGGGUGAACUUCCAGGUUUCAAAGUCAAGAUGUACACCCCUGAAUCCACACAGGAUGGCAGUAACACCGUUGAGACUGUGUUGUCAGCAGCAGAGAUUACAUUUGAAUCAUUGGAGAAUCCAGAGACUUUUGCAGACCCCUAUCAAAUUGCCAUGAAUUAUGUGGAGGAACAUAAAAUUCUACAGAUUUUUCAGGCUAUCACAGAAAAACUGCUGAUCCAUAAGCCUGGUGACCCAUUGCAGUUCAUAUUGCAGGAGGUGCAGUCUAUGAUAAAUGCCAGGCAAGCAGAACCGGAGAGACAAUAGGAAGAGAACAAAGAUGUGUAGGUGUUUCUAGAAGAGGGCUUGUGCACUCCUUUUGGCCCCCACUGACCUUGCUGUUGUGGUAUUGCCACACCAUGCCUUCACAGCACCGUGUAGUCAUUUGCAAUAACGUGGAAAAGAUCUGCUUAUCUGUCUCUUGCCUGGUUCCUCUGUUUUGUAUGCUUGGGUUUAAAUCCUGCAACCAAGUUUUGGGUUGGAAUUGCAGACUGAGAUCUAAGUGUGGAUGUAUCUGCAUGCAUGUAUGGUAUGAAUAUCUUGAAGAGGCAGGUCUGAACUUCUAUGCAUUUAAAUGCAUAAAUCUCAUAUUUAAGCCACUCCAGACUCUGCCUUUCCAUGCAGAAAAACCUUACAGCUCAGACAAUGCAAAGACAAAAGCAAGUAGAUUUUAAAAGCAGCCCUGGACAACCCAUAGCCUUCUUUUUUAAUGCUGCAUUGGUGGCUUACUGUGACCAGUUAUGCAGCAGCACCAGUGCCUAUCUAAUACUUCAAUAGUUUGUGUCUGGCCUUUCACACUGCCCCCAGAGCUUCUCUAAUGCAAGAAGCUGUCUCUCUGCCUCUUCCACACAAUGGAUACAGCUGUCUCACCCUUAAUUAUCUCUGCUGGACACUGAUCACUCUGCUUUUUGGGGUUGCCCUGCCUGUAUCAUUCUAAGUACAGUAUAUAACCAGAACAGUAAGGCAACAGUUGCACACACCCUUUUUAUGCUUUCAGAAGACAUUGUCACUCAGGAAUGUGGGAGGUGAAUAAAACCAAACAAACCAAAACCAAGCACUGAGAAUUAAGAGUCAAGGUACAUUUCGCAAACACAUAAUUUGAACUGUGUUUGAUUUUUGAAACAUUUACAGUCCUUGUUUUCAUACUAACCAAGUGUCUGUUUCUACCCUAUAAAAAAACUUCCUUUCUUCUUCUUGUCUCUUGCCUGACAAUUAUUGAAAAUGUGCAACAGAGCAUACUGUUAUUUUGGCUUAAUAGAUUGUCUAUGUGCAGUAGAUGUCAGAAAGUGUUUUUAUGUCACUACAGGGUUUUCUCUUUUUUAGGCAAGUGGUCUAAUUUCCUGAUGAAUGGUGGUGUAUUCCCAAAUGACUGUUUCUAUGGCUAUGAAGAGAGCACCAUAAAAACUUCCAUCUAUCUAUUUUUAAAAAAUAAUGUAUGAUGAUUGAGUUGUGUGAUUCUACACAGCACAGCUCGGGCGCCAAAAGUCUGGGAAUAACAGUGGGCAAGUAUUUGGCAUUCAAAUUCCGAGUGUGAGAUGAGUUUCUUUUCUAUCUGAGUUUCUCAAAAAGGAUCAGUUAACUCAUAUAUUUCAAGACUGAAGGCAGGUAAGCACCCCUGUAAUUCAUAGGGCAGGCUGUUUUUCAAGGUUAUUGUGAGACUAAAGAUGGCUCAAGAUUCAGAUUAAAUCUUCAUUGGUUUUAUAAGAGUUUUAAUGUAGACUUAGGCAUUGAGGUCCCACUAUAGCAGUGAGAUGCUUUUGAAAUCCCUACUUAUCUCCAGCAACUGGAAAAAUCUGACACUGAGAAUCUGAGAUUGAUCUGCUUACAAAUUAUUGACCAAAAAUGUAUCAAGCUGAAAAACAAUGUAUAUGUGCCCUGUCCUAAUGUAUCUGUGGGGAACAGGAAAUCUAUGGAAGAUGAAGACAGUGUUUGAAGCCUUCUCAUCUCUAUAGUCAUUUGUCAGCACAUUGUCCCAGGAGAUGGAGAAGCUGACAUGUCUUUGAAUUCUGUUGUAGAACAGGAUUAGGAUGCCUUGGGGUACAGCCUUCACUGUGUAUUUCCUGCCUCUGUCAUUUGGGUAUUGCAUUUUGUGAUUCUCUUUUACUUACGAAAAGCUUGUGACCUGUAAUAUGUUUUCAGACUAUAAGUAUAUGCUUUCAACUUCAUGUCAGCAUUAAGGAAGUUAUGCAAGGGAAGAUCCUUAAUUCCUCUCAGGUAGGUUGAAAUGAGCUGGAAAGCAGUCUUCUUACAGGUGACAGAAGUUUUGCAAGAGAGGCCGUACCCCGUGUUCCUGAGUAAUCUCAGGGCCACAAUUUUCCUUUGGUGGCCUGGCCACCUCAUCUCAUGCAAACAAAGUUGCUGUGUGGUAGCAAGAAGUCCUCCCCAGUACAUAUAGGAGAGAGCAUCUGUCUUGUCUGUUUCUCAGAAAAGAGAAACGGUGUUUCCUGUUCUUUUGUUUCUACUAAGGAGAGGUCUUUCUCCUUUGAAAAGCAGUUUUCUGGAGAUGAAUGAGGCUAUACCCAGGACAAGCUCUGUGAGCCUGGAGUUGGCAUAUGUAGAUGGCAUGAAACUGGGGAGGAUCAUGAGCUAAGGAAAAAUGUCGCUUCACCUCAAGACUCUCCGAUGAUUGAACUUAAUUUUAUGAAAACAAAAAAAGCAUCCUCCAGAAUGUUUGCAGAUUACAGUGUUUGAGGUAGUGUCACACAGCUGUAUUUUUUGAUCUGCUUCAAAAUUAUUCUGAAAAAUACACUCUAGGUCUAGAAAAAAUCCACUUGACAUUAAGGCACUGCUGUUUGUAUAUAAGAAGGCUUUUCUGUGCUGAAGAAAAGAAGAAAACUUAGAUUGAAAAUGGAAACUUUUACUGUAGCCUUAAUUCCAGAGUGACUGUCCCUUUUCCACAAUUUAUUUCCAAAACCAUUGUAUCCUUAUUUCUUCUUUGUAAGUGGACAUUUAUCAACAUGACAUUAAACUGUCAUUAAAUUUCUUGCCUUGAGUGCUCAGAAGGAAUUAGCAGUUCCUCGUGUGUAACCGAAACUAUUCCAUAUAAGUCCUUAUAGCAUGCUAGUCACAGCACAUUUGAAUGCCCUCCAGAGUACUAAGCAACGUGACUAACAUCUGUUGUUUGCUCUUUCUCCUCUUCGCAAGGGAAAUGGCUGUGCACUGAAGUGCAUUCUUUUAGAAAGGGUGGUUUGGGGUUUUUUUUUACCACACCUGUGUAUUUCUGUGUGCUUCUAAUGGUUAAGUCAUGAAGUGGAAGGUGCAGAAGUUGGAGGUAGUUUGUAAUUCCCAAAGAUGAUUCCUCUGCAGUAUGAGCUGGGUACUGAGAAAACGCAUUAUUUUCAAGGAAGAGAUUCUUUUCAUCCAUGUUCAUCCAUGGACAGGCACAGAGGUGCAACACCCAGUUAAUCUACCAAAUGGCAUGAUCUUAAGGUGCCCAAACUGUUUCUGUUUCUGUUGUGAAUCUUUUACUCCUCCAGAGGCAGGACACAGAGGAGCCAAUCAGGGGGAAGUGUAGUCCCUGUAAAAUAGGUCUCUUGGACCAAAACAUCAGUUUCUUUUUCUGCCAUCUCUGUAUGGAACGUGAAAAGACUCAGCUGCCCCAAGCAAUACUGAAGUUGCAUGUGUACUGCUUCUAACCAAUGGGGAAAAAAA